UGGGUGUCAACUUGGGACUGGAUAGCC
rnacentral:piRNA from 1 species